GACGAACGCUGGCGGCGUGCCUAAUACAUGCAAGUCGAACGCAGUGGGGACGGGUGAGUAACACGUGGGUAACCUCCCAUCAGAGGGGAUAACACUUGGAAACAGGUGCUAAACCGAUACUGAUGGAUGAACCCGCGGUGCAUUUGCUCGUGGGUGAGGAAACGGCUCACCAAGGCCACGAUGCAUAGCCGACCUGAGAGGGUGACCGGCCACACUGGGACUGGGAACCGGCCCAGACCCCUCGGGGAGGCAGCAGUAGGGAAUUUUCGGCAAGGGACGAAAGUCUGACCGAGAACCGCCGCGUGAGUGAAGAAGGUUUUCGGAUCGUAAAACUCUGUUGUUAGAGAAGCGGUAUCUAACCAGAAAGCCACGGCUAACUACGUGCCAGCAGCCGCGGUAAUUC
rnacentral:rRNA from 1 species